rnacentral:rRNA from 1 species
CGACUUAACUGAACCUUCGGGGAACGUUAAGGGCGUCGAGCGGCGGACGGGUGAGUAAUGCCUGGGAAUAUGCCUUGAUGUGGGGGAUAACCAUUGGAAACGAUGGCUAAUACCGCAUAAUCUCUUCGGAGCAAAGAGGGGGACCUUCGGGCCUCUCGCGUCAAGAUUAGCCCAGGUGGGAUUAGCUAGUUGGUGAGGUAAUGGCUCACCAAGGCGACGAUCCCUAGCUGGUCUGAGAGGAUGAUCAGCCACACUGGAACUGAGACACGGUCCAGACUCCUACGGGAGGCAGCAGUGGGGAAUAUUGCACAAUGGGCGCAAGCCUGAUGCAGCCAUGCCGCGUGUGUGAAGAAGGCCUUCGGGUUGUAAAGCACUUUCAGUCGUGAGGAAGGCGGCGUCGUUAAUAGCGGCGUUGUUUGACGUUAGCGACAGAAGAAGCACCGGCUAACUCCGUGCCAGCAGCCGCGGUAAUACGGAGGGUGCGAGCGUUAAUCGGAAUUACUGGGCGUAAAGCGCAUGCAGGUGGUUAGUUAAGUCAGAUGUGAAAGCCCGGGGCUCAACCUCGGAACCGCAUUUGAAACUGGCUGGCUAGAGUACUGUAGAGGGGGGUAGAAUUUCAGGUGUAGCGGUGAAAUGCGUAGAGAUCUGAAGGAAUACCAGUGGCGAAGGCGGCCCCCUGGACAGAUACUGACACUCAGAUGCGAAAGCGUGGGGAGCAAACAGGAUUAGAUACCCUGGUAGUCCACGCCGUAAACGAUGUCUACUUGGAGGUUGUGGCCUUGAGCCGUGGCUUUCGGAGCUAACGCGUUAAGUAGACCGCCUGGGGA